rnacentral:rRNA from 1 species
GUCUCUUUGUUUACGUUAACAUAAAGAGUCUAACCUGCCCAGUGAUUUUUUUAACGGCCGCGGUACUCUGACCGUGCAAAGGUAGCAUAAUCAUUUGCCUUAUAAUUGAAGGCUCGUAUGAAUGGUUUAACAAGAAUUAGCCUGUCUCUUGCAAAUUAAAAUGAAAUUGACCUUUAGGUGCAAAGGCCUAGAUAUUACUAAUAGACAAGAAGACCCUAUUGAGCUUUAAAAAUCUAUAGUAAUAUAAAUUAUAUUAAAACAAAAUUUUAAAUUACUACAAUUUUUUUAGUUGGGGCGACUAUGGAAUAAGCAAAACUUCCACAAUAUUAAAUUAUUUGUUAUCAGUUUAUUUAAAUUUGAUCCAAAAUAUUUUGAUUAAUAGAAUAAGUUACCAUAGGGAUAACAGCAUAAUCUAUCUUAAGAGUUCUAAUCGAAAGAAAGGUUUGUGACCUCGAUGUUGGAUUAAAAUAUCCUAAGGGUGCAGAAGUUCUUGAAGGUUGGUCUGUUCGACCAUUAAAAUUUU